GUGAAGUCGGAAUCGCUAGUAAUCGCAAAUCAGAAUGUUGCGGUGAAUACGUUCCCGGGCCUUGUACACACCGCCCGUCACACCAUGGGAGUGGGUUGCACCAGAAGUAGAUAGCUUAACCUUCGGGAGGGCGUUUACCACGGUGUGAUUCAUGACUGGGGUGAAGUCGUAACAAGGUAACCCUAGGGGAACCUGGGGUUGGAUCACCUCCUUACCUUAA
rnacentral:rRNA from 1 species